UACGAAGGGGGCUAGCGUUGUUCGGAAUCACUGGGCGUAAAGCGCACGUAGGCGGACACUUAAGUCAGAGGUGAAAUCCCAAGGCUCAACCUUGGAACUGCCUUUGAUACUGGGUGUCUUGAGGUCGGAAGAGGUAAGUGGAACUGCGAGUGUAGAGGUGAAAUUCGUAGAUAUUCGCAAGAACACCAGUGGCGAAGGCGGCUUACUGGUCCGAUACUGACGCUGAGGUGCGAAAGCGUGGGGAGCAGACAGG
rnacentral:rRNA from 1 species